rnacentral:lncRNA from 1 species
AUUUCUUAGGGGAGAUUUUUUAAUUGAUUUUAAAUAUAAGUACCUGCUUACAUACUGUCUCACUCCAAUUUAUAGGAGGGAGAGGAGGUUCUUUGAAAUAUGUAUGCCCGGCGUGAGAUUAAGAAACAACGGUUCAAAUGUUGGUCCGAACAGUUUAUUACAAAUGUUAAUAAGGGAGAUGGGGAAAGGGGAGGACGGACACUAUUAAGGGUUGGGGUGAUGGGGAAGGGAAGGCGAGCGAUGGAAAAGAUAGAAAGAGGCAAGAAUUGCAUAAAGCGGGGAUAGUUACCACCAGAAUCCGGCAGCAGUCCUGUAGCACGACGUUCCGACGCCGAAGGGCAGGAGCAGCGAGGCCGGUCUUGGGCAACGAGAGAGUGCAGGUCAGGGAGGAAGCAGCAGGUCUCAGGUAGCAGGCCCAGGGAAGUCCGUCAGCAAACGGUCCGUAGAGAAGGAUCUGAAGGCAGAAAGCUCGUGUCGUGGUGAGAGAUCAGCCUCCACCUAGCCGUGGUUGUUGGACCCUCUUUUAUCCUCCAUUUUCUGCUGCCUACGUGACAUUCCUGGGUGCUUGAGCAAGAGUCCUGUGCAUACCUCCUGAGAUGGCCAUUUUCCUUGAGAUAAGUCCACACAAAAAGACCGUUUCCCGGCCAUUAGCAGCAGCUUAUCUCUCUCUCGAUGCCCCUGGCCUUGUCCAGCUGUGCUCCUUAGAGGAUUUCACAAUCCUUAGCCAGGACCUGUCCAUCAGUGUCCUCAAGACAAAAGAUUUCUCUGCCUUUGCCCAGGACUUGCCUGGACUUGUUCCUCAGCAAACUUUGAGUCAAUGAUAUAAAAGAAUAAUCUCUUACACAUACAUACAAAAUAGUGCAUAUUAAUGUGCAAAUGGGUAAUCAUUUGUGCAUAGCAAAUAUAAUUUUCAAAAGUUUUUUGCUUGCUUGUUUCACCUUUCCAGAUCUAUCCCAGCAUGAUUUUUAACACAAAUUUUGAAACAACUUAAUAGAAGCCCAUAGGAAAAUUACAAUAGCAGCUGCUGAUUCUUGGAUUCUUGGAAUCUGGUUGAUAUAUUGACCUGAAAACAUCAUGUCAACAGUUCACAGAGUGUACAUUUGAGGAUUUAAAAGUCCCAAAUGAAAAUAUUUUACAUUCCUCAGAAGAAUAACAUACAUUAAAAAAUUCCCAUUCCUCGGUGCCAAAGACGACUGAAAUGUCCAGGCUGAAUUUACCCCAGCUGCAUGUGCUCUUUGUGAGUGGUGAUGGGUUCAGCCUGUGAUGUGGAUGCAGGGAGUGCUCACAUUACCCUGCCACAAAUGUGUUGCAUCCUCAUGCCUUGUAAAGGGGACAAUGUGGUAAUUGAAGCUCCCACAAACUAAAAAGCUGGCUGCAGUGCAAUUCACUAUUUAUGCACUUCAGUUUCAUCUGUUGUGUUGAGAUCCUACUGGCUAUACUGAUUUCUACUACAGGCAUUUUAGAGAUGUUUUUUAUGCUACUGUUUUGGGAAAGGUACUGGGAAAAAAUGAUGUCCCAGUGCCUCCUCACACUGAAGAGCUAUAUUUGAUCAAUCCUUUCUCUUGUGAGGGAGGCUCAAAUGUGUCUUUAGUGUGUGUUACACAUGUACUAGAAGUGUAUCUGCUUUUGAGAUGAUUAACAUCACUUAAUUUACUGAUUUAGAGAGAGAGAAGAAUGAUAACAUAUUAAAAACCCAGCCAUAGGAGAGAGAAGAUAAAGCCCUGUUUUCAACUCUUCCUGUUAGCUUAAACUUUUCCAUCUUUACAAUGUAAGCAGUAGUUUAAAUUUAUAAGGGCUAAUAACUUAAAGGUUAAAGCAUUAAUAUUUUAUGAGAGGUGUUUUUUUUUUAAUCUUUAUACAGAUAGUGCUAUGAAAAUAGUCUGACAAGUUAGUUUCAUUAUGAAUUAGCUCUUUUCAGCCAAUUUCCUUUUAUUCGUAAAUCUAACAGACUUUUUUUCUCUGCUUUUACAGGGAGUAAUGGAAAACCAUGAAAAUCUUACUUUUGUCCUAACAUUUCCAGAAUUCUGUCUCAUUGAAACAUAGCUCAUACUUUUCUGAAAGCAAGACAACCUUUGUAGACAACAAAACAAGACUUCAGUUAAAAGCAAUUGAGACCUGUAUAUAACCAUGCCUAAGCUGCUGAAGUUUCCGCUGUAUUUUCUGCCAAAGUUCAUCUUCUGCCAUUCAGAGUAAUUCUUAUAGCACCUGCAAAAAAAAAUACUACAAGGACUGUUGCAGUCCCUUUACAGAAGUGAGCAAAACUCCUUUUAAGGACUAUGGGUCUUUUUCUACGUAUCUCUUUAUGUCCUCUUCAUCUACCUUCAUAUCUAUACCAAAUCAUAAGGUGUAUUAAAAAUAUAAUUUGGUAGGAAGUUUUUUUUACAUUGUUGAGAGCUGCAACAAGGUUAACAGGGAUGUUCUCAGGCCUAGGAUGAUCAAACACAAAACACAACUUUAACUAUCAAGAUUGAGCUGUGAAAUUAAUCUAAGUUCACUAUAUCACCAGCAGAUUUACAAACCAAGAAGUUAUAGCUUUCUUUCUUUCUUCCUCAUCUCCCUUUCAGAAUUACCAGUUAUCUCCAAAGAGAACACAGCUGAAUAAUGUGCUUCAGUUGGCCAACUCUAUUGCUUGCUGUUUAAAGCUCCUCUAGAACACAGAGAAGAGAUUGGCAUUCUACAUCUUGUAUGAGCUUCAAAAUCAUUCGCAGUCUUUCUUUUUCUGGUCUCUGCUUCAAAACUUCUUUUUCCUUCUUCUCACUCUUCCAUCUCUUUUCCAUCUUUGUGGUCAGCUUUAUUCCAAUGCUUUAAGUAGUUAAAGGUUUUUAAAGUGGACUUGGAAACUCCAAAUCUUGGUUACACUUGAAUAAGCAGAACCAGGGUCCAGUGUUUCCUGAUUACCUUAUAUGGCAGCACUGGAAAGCAGUCUCUCAGCUGUGCUGAAAAAAUGUAUCUAAGUUCAUUAUUACUCUAUUUUAAAUGUACAGUUUCUUCUAAUGAGUUGCUGAUAAAAUAGUUGAUGGACAAUUUAAUUGUAUAUAUUUCAGCAAAGCAUAAUACAACAAUCUGCCAUAAGAAAUAAAAUGUAACUUUUCCUCUGUUGGUUGCUUGUAUUUAUCAUACUUAGUAGGUGAAAUGUUCUAAAUCUUCUAAAUUACAAAUUAUCCAUAGUGCCAUCUUGGAUGAAAAAAGGAAAGCAGAGACUUCUUGUUCUAGUAAAUAACCAAAAAAGUAAAAUGUUUAUGACUUCUCCUUAGCAGUCUGGAAAGAGGAAGAAGGAGAGAGAGAAACACUAGUUUGUUUACUCAGGCUGCUAGAUGUCAUGACCCUGCUGUGUGCAGACUGUCCCUUCUUUCAGUUAGAAUGACUGGCAGUUGUGAACACAUGUCAUUCCAUGUCAGAAACCAUACAUGGGCACCCUGGCUAGAACUGCUUGCUGACACACAGAAAUUAUCCAAGGAUACAAUUUUAUUUAUCAUAGUAUGUGUUUCAUGGUAAAAAUGUG